ensembl:lncRNA
CUCUGCUUUAAUAUUCAUGAUUUUCUUCCAUCUGCUAACUUUGGGUUUAAUUUGGGUUUUUUAGGGGAGGGGACUCAAGAUGGCGCUGUGAGAACAACCCAGGAUUGGAGCCCGCGUUGAAUCCGCAAACGGAGUUUGUCACAGAACAACAUGGAAUGAGUCAGGAAUGGGGAGCAGGAUACCUUCUCAGAAUGGAAGAUAACGCAUACAAAGGAACUGAAAUAUGGACUCCUAGAGAACAGGGAGAGAUGAAGCAGAGUUGGAGAGUACUUGUGACCACUGAGCCAGUCUGCCAGGCCCGCCACAUCUCCCACCAGGAACUGUCACUGUGCUUAUUCUCAGCUUCUGGAAUCACCGCAUCAGGGCAUUCUCCCUGAAAGUGCUGGAGAGUUACCCCUGUGAGACACCCAGCCAAAGACAGGCAGGAGUGAUGGUGGAUACCACACCUUCCCCAGCCUGCCCUCUUCUCUCUGGAGGUGGAGGGAGAAUCCCCAGUUUGUCACCUUGGUCCUCACCUCCACUGCUUGUCCACUUGACUACCAGUUGUAACCCAUCCUAGCCACUCUUUCCAUAGAGAGGGAGACAAAAAGGAAUGGAAUUACUAAGUGCCUUUGUAACUAUAAAGGGCAGAAACCAAACUUACAUUCGCUCAAAGAAAUAGGAGAUAUAUUAGUUCACAUAACUAAAAAUUCCAGCAGUCUGUUAGCUUCAGGCACCAUGGGAGUCAGGAGCUCGAAUUAUGCCAUCUCCAUCUCCCAGUUCUUCUUUCUAAGGGGGGUUGUAUCCUAAUAGGGCUGAAAUUGAUGCUCACAGCUCCAGGAUUAGUGGCUUCAGUGGAAGGAGGACUCUUCUUCCUUGAUGGUUCUAGGAUAAGUCCAAGAUGGAGCUCUCACGAAUCUGACCUGAUAAUGGGCCAACUCUCGAUCUAUCACGGAUGCAGAGCAGCAAAGAUGCUCUGGUUGACCAACACAGACUCACGUAUGCUCUGCAGGACUUAGGCAGUGUUAGCUCCAUGCAAAACAUAUAGAGGAAGGUUAUUUGCUAAAGGAAAGUCCAGGUAAUGUUACCAGAACAAGAGAAGGAUGGAGAUUGGUUGGAAAACAACGGCAGUUACCCAACUCAGGAACUAACCAUGCUGAACAUAUACCAUGGUUCUGCCCCCUGCCAGGCUCUAUUUAUAUACUGCCACAGAGUCCUCAGAGGUCGACAUGAUCCCCCCAUUUCACAGAAGAGAAAACUAAGGUGGAGGAGGUAAAGCCACUUGUCCAGUGCCACACCGUUAGAAGGGAUGAUUUGACCGGUGUCCAGAUUAGAAGUUAUUUGCUUUUCUUCCGGGAGCUCUUGCCUCUACAUUCUGUUGGAUUUGGGUAUGACAAGCUGGCCCACAAGGCCGUAGUUUGGUGAUCAUGUGCUUCUCCAUCUACUGGUCAGAGCUGGCACCCAAGAGUAAGUGGCCUGAGAGGCUUCACUAGAGUCUCCAGCUUCACAUCCCCAUUCCCCAGAAUUCAAGAAGCAGAUUCCUGGCUCUCCUUGCUCAUGACUGUGGGGAUUUCCAAUUCUUUUUUUUUUUUUUUUUUUUUGAGAUGGAGUCUCACUCUGUAACUCAGGCUGGGGUGCAGUGGCACAGCAUCAGCUCACUGCAACCUCCACCUCUCGGGUUCCAGUGAUUCUCCUGCCUCAGCCUCCCAGGUAGCUUGGCUUAUAGGUUGUGCCACCACACCCAGCUCAUUUUUGUAUUUUUAGUAGAGAUGGGGUUUCACCAUGUUAGCCAGGCUGGUCUUGAACUCCUAGGUGAUCCCCCCCACUUCAGCCUCCCAAAGUGCUGGGAUCACAGGCAUAAGCCACUACACCCAGCAGGGAUUUCCAAUUCUCAGUCUCAUUGCAGAAGAGAAAAGAGCAGCUUGUCCAGCAGUUACUCAAUGAACACUCCUGUCCCCAUCAAGUCACCAUCUCUGCCCACCCCCUAGGUCUCCGUGAUGAUGUAUCUUUUCAGUUUUCCCUGGGAGUGGUGUAAUUUAUCCUUAAAUCUAUGGA